GUAACGCGAUUGUCUUGAUUACACGUGAUGUGAAACCAAGUGCAGGGGCUAACAAGAUUGGGAUCCCAGCUCUGAAGAACGUUAUCGGGAUCGUUCAAGCUCCGGCGAAGCGCGUAGAGCGCGUCACCUUCGGAAUUAGCGAUGACUGUUGACGUAAAAGCGGAUGCUGCUACUAAUAAGAUGAUCAGAGCACACGCCAUGGUGUGGUGUGGUUGAUCAACAAACUGAUUGAGAAAAAGGGUUUGAGUACUUGUGGAAUUUAUAUUGGGAGUCAAAGAUAUUGACCCCAGUGUGCAAAAGAAACAAACAGGGGGUGUCUUUUUUUUGACCAGAGGAACCUCCUCAUCUUGAUGUGUUGCAAUAUUUUCCUCGGAUCCGUGCUCUCACUCGAGAAGAUGAUUUCAUUGCCCCUUUUUCAGAUAACCCAACAAGAAAGGAUAAUAGAUUGUUCACACCGAAGGCAUAAAUCGGAUUGACUUUACACCGUGUGGAUACCAUCUAGAGGUGUACAAAUCGGUUUUCUUCUUCAAAAACAAAAACCGGUUUUUUUUAUAACCGGUUUAGGUUACUAGUCGGUUUUUUAAACAAAAAACAGUAAUCGGUCCAACCGGUUCGUUUCGGUUUUUAACCGGUUUUAGCCAAAAAACGGUUUUUUAAAAACCGGUUUCAAACAUCAAGAACCCUAACCGCUACACAAACCGCCGGUACAGUUUGGGUUGGAACCGGUUUAAAAAAAACGGCUAAAGAAAAACCGAUUUCUUUAUACACCUCUAAUACCAUCUUCCACACAAUCAUGCACUUUCAUGUCAGAUAUAUCUUGAAAUUUCACCAAACCACAGGGACUAUCCGUGCAUUUUACUCUUUAAAAAAAAUUGUACACACAUAACAAAUCCAAUAUAGAGGCCCAUUAUCAAAAGAUUUGUAUUUUUUAUAAUUUACCCAACUUAACAAUAAGUUUAUUGGGCCAUAUCCAAUACUAAUAUGAUUUAAAAAAAAAAAAGAAAUACGCAGCAGGAAAUUGGAUGGACGAACAGCAGCAGGAAACUUGAACGACGAUUUGAAGACUAGCGAUUCAGUGUGAAACACGUUGAAGAUCAGGUGAAUUAUAUUGUUUAUCAUUAAAGCAUAUGGGCCCAUUUUUCGAGCUUGAACAGGGUACGUGAAUUCUCAAAGACGUCAUUGGAUGUGAUCAUGGGUCAUUUGCAGAAGUAAGUUUUAGUUCAUACGAGGAAGUGUAUUUUUAUAUCCAAUACAAUGUAGUGACUCAUUAUUAGUCUAAGAAAUUUAGGUUUCUUGAUUCCCUUCUAAUUGUUCUCUCUCUCUCUCUCUCUCUCUCUCUCUCUCUCUCUCUCUUUUAUUGCCCGCAUUAUCUACAUGGAACUCACGAAUUUGUUCUUGGUUGGCCAAGUGAAAAUCUGACAUAAGGUCACCUCUCAUGGAUUGCUCCCAAUCAAGCGGUCUUAAUUGUGGAGAUGUUGAUAGUAUUUGAGGCGAGAUGAGGAUCAAUCACAUGCCAAGUGAAAAUCUGACAUAAGGUCACCUCUCAUAGAUUGCUCCCUAUCAAGCAGUCUUAACUGUGGAGACGUUGAUAGUAUUUGAGGUCUUCUUAAGUUGGCAAGCGUCCAAACCAAGGCAAGGCGGUCGUUUUGAUAUCCAGGCUUUCAUGGUAUGACGGUUUGAAACUUGGAACUAGCUCUGUAUAUCAAACCAUUUGUUUAACCUUUAAUAUUUAUAGUACAUUUU
rnacentral:lncRNA from 1 species